rnacentral:rRNA from 1 species
GAUGAACGCUGGCGGCGUGCCUAAUACAUGCAAGUCGAGCGAACAGAUAAGGAGCUUGCCCCUUUGACGUUAGCGGCGGACGGGUGAGUAACACGUGGGUAACCUACCUAUAAGACUGGGAUAACUUCGGGAAACCGGAGCUAACACCGGAUAAUAUUUCGAACCGCAGGGUUCGUUAGUGAAAGAUGGUUUUGCUAUCACUUAUAGAUGGAACCGCGCCGGAUUGGCAAAGUGGUAAGGUAACGGCUUACCAAGGCGACGAUACGUAGCCGACCUGGGAGGGUGAUCGGCCACCAUUGAACUGAGACACGGUCCAGACUCCUACGGGAGGCAGCAGUAGGGAAUCUUCCGCAAUGGGCGGAAGCCUGACGGAGCAACGCCGCGUGAGUGAUGAAGGUCUUCGGAUCGUAAAACUCUGUUAUUAGGGAAGAACAGACGUGUAAUUAACUGUGCACGGCUUGACGGUACCUAAUCAGAAAGCCACGGCUAACUACGUG